ACUCCUACGGGAGGCAGCAGUAGGGAAUAUUGCGCAAUGGACGAAAGUCUGACGCAGCCACGCCGCGUGAGUGAGGAAGGCCUUCGGGUUGUAAAGCUCUGUCAUCCGGGAAAACGGCUAUCUGGGAAGAUUCAGGUAGCGUGAUGGUACCGGAGGAGGAAGCACCGGCAAACUCUGUAGCCAGCAGCCGCGGCUAAUACCAGAGGGUACAAGCGUUGGUUCGGAAAUUACUGGGCGUAAAGCGUGCGUAGUCGGAUAUUGAGAGUCACGGGUUG
rnacentral:rRNA from 1 species